rnacentral:lncRNA from 1 species
GAGAUUUUAAUUUUUGACAUUUAUUUUCUGUUGUUUUACUUAUAUUAGACUUAUAUUAGAAAAUCCACAGACCAUGUUCAAAUUUUAAGAACUAUAGUACUUCUCCAGUGUACACUAUUAGCUUCUGUGGAGAGAGAACACAGAAGCAGUUGAAAAGCAACAACCUAAAAAUGAGGGGACAGCAUAUUCUCUCCACAGCAACAUGAAAGAGAAAUACAGACCCAAAUCGCCAAUUAGUUCACAGGAAGUAUUCAAAUUCUUGUGUUGUUCUGAAUCGUCAAGUUCAUAACGAUACUUAAGAUAAAUGUCAUGUAUGAAGAGUGAAAAUUGUACAGGGCUAAAGGUGGAGCUCAGUGGCAGAGUGUAUGUUCAAAGCUCUGGGUUCAAUCUUCAGUGUAACACAAAAUUAAAAUAAAACAAAUGUCAUAAAGUAAGGGAAUAUUGUUAAUAAUCUAAUAUAAUCAAUUAUUUUAUAAGUGAUUUCUUUUUAAAAGCAAUUUAUUUGGGAAAGCUCAACUGAAGUCAUACCUAUUGCCUCAAUUUUCUUCAUGACUUUUCUCUGAAGUUGUUCCUAAAAUGUUUUGAACCAUGAAAAAUGAAAUGUAUUACUGAAAUCUACUAAAUGAAAAAGUUCAGAAUCCAGUUUACAAAUAAAUUUGAAUAUGUAAGAAAUAGAGGCAAUAAUAUGAUAUAUUAUCAAUUUGCCUAUGUUUUAAACAGCUUAUUAUUGAUUUGAGUCUCUCAUAGAAUUUUUUUUAAAUAUUUGUUUUUUAGUUGUCGGUGGACCUUUAAUUUUUAUUUGUUUAAUUAUGUGCAGUGCUGAGAAUUGAACCCAGUGCCUCAUACCUGCUAGGCAAACACUCUACCACUGAGCUACAACCCCAGCCCUGUCAUACAAUUUUGAUUGCCAAAAAACCUUUCCACCUAUUUUUAAAACUAAUAUAUAUCUACCAUAAUAUCCUACAAAAGAUUACAUUUGCUCUCUUUCUCCCAGUUCUCUUUCUUCUCUAAAUCUCUUAGUCCUGCAAAUAAAUCUUGAACAUCAUUUGAGCUACAUUAUUUCGAUCUCCAAGGGUGAUUUCAAUUCCAACUUCUAUUUCCAAAUAUGUAUUUAACUCCGGACCAUUUAUAUUAGCUGAAGUAUUAGAUAAGAUGCAAAUAGUUGCAUUUUCUUCCCUUUCAGAUGCCUUCAGUCACCUAAGGACAUCGCAUAGCUGUGGAGACUGCAGAGGGUGAUCCAUUGCUGAAGGAACACUGGAGCAAGUGAAUAUCUCCAUGGGAACAGCAGAGCUAAUCAGGAACCCAUUGAUGUGUCUGAAAGGUUUUGGUAAAGGAGAUUUAAAGAAGUUCAGUGUAUAUUAAAUAGAUGCAACUACUUACUUGAAAAUGAUAUUUGCUAUAUAAGAUCAUUUUGCUACUUUGUCUUAAAAUAUGCAUCACAUUGAUUCAAUUUUUUAAAUAGUAUAUGGUCAUUAUUUCUGUUAAUAAAUACAUUGAUAAUUCAUAUUAAGGGUAUUAACUUGGAAGACAGACAAGUCUGGGUUUGUAUUCUGGCACUGCCAAUUGUUAAUUAUGUAAUUUGAGGUAAUAUAUUUAAAACUCUCUAAAUCUCACUUUCUUUUUUUAAACAACGAUGGCAAUGACUUCAUAGAGUUUCUCUAAUGACUCAGUAAAGUCUGGCAAAGUAGCUCAAUGGUAGAGCACUUUCUCAGCAUAAAGGUCCCUGGGUUCUAUUCCUAGCACUGCAAAAUAAAUAAAUAGAGAAAGAAUCAAUGAGAUAAUCUGUUUUGAGUACUUAGCAUGUUUUUGAACCUUGUUCCAUAGUUAAUGAUACCUACAUUAAUUAGGAGACCUAUGCCAAUCCCCUCCAAUCAGAACCAGACCUGACCUGUGUCUGUUUGGAGCCCUUCAAUUAUCAUAUCACAGUGCUAUAGUUAUACUUCUGUAGUUUGUUAUUGUUUAAAGAUCCCCACGUUCCUUAUUCACUAUCAAUUUCUGGUCAAUAUCUGACAACUAGCAGUUACAGCUAACUAGUAAGUUUCCAGAUUCACUGAGGGUAUACAUUUGUAAGCAAAAUAUUUAUCUACACCCUUCACUUUAAUGCUACAGGCUUAACUAUCUACCUUUACAGCUGUGAGCAAGAGGGAAAUCUCACCAGCUGCUACUGAGGAGGCCCAACUGGUGCUUGUAACCUAACAUGGUUGUGUCUUAUUACAUUUACAGAACCAUUUCUGCCUCAGAGUAUCCUGGGUAUGUCUGGUUUAAUCACUAAAGGCAUCAUUAGAUGGCAUCUGCCGUAAAAUGCUCCCCAGAGGAUCAAACAGAACCAACUACAAAAUGCCACAGAGCAGACCCUUGGCCUCAAACAUCUAUGAUUCAAGGUUUUAAUUCUCAAGCAGUUUCUAACAUCGAUGACACAAAGCAACCUGUAAUUGUUCUACAACACGGAUCUGAUGGCACCAAGACUUUCCAGGUAUGACGGGUGGAAUGAGGUGCUUAACUAGCAAGUGGGCCCCACAGCAGCUAUAGCAUCUCCUGUUUUUGUCCAUCCCUCUCCAUUCUCAUUCAUGCAUUUAUUCUCAUUAAGGGUCUUUAAGGCUACCUAAUAUUUUUUAUCUUGCUAAUUUAUAUGCUUUAUAUAAAAAUUAUAUCUCUAAAUAAAAUUCAAGAAAGUCUGAGGUAUAUUCUUCAGCCAUAUCAAGUGUCUACUCUCAUCUUCCAAAGGUAAGGCAUUGUCUAAUGCACAACAAAAUUAUUUUAUAACUACUUCUGAUUCCUAAUAUCAAAAUAUGGGUUUUACAGUGAGUACUUUCACCUCAAAUAAUUUUUUUGCUGCCAAAAUAACUUUUUAAUAGCAACAUGUUACUACUUCUAUAGUGUACAAUGCAAACUAACCUCUAAGAAGAGCUAAAACAUUUCCUGUUUAUCUAAAUAUAAAUUCCUCUCUCAUAGGUAACACAGACAACAUAGCUUAAGCUAGGAUGACUUAUGCAAAGACACAAGACUGAAUUCAACAUUUUAGAGGGUUUUAAAAAAAUACUUUUUAAUCAUAAUUUCAAAAAUUAAAUUGUCUGAAUUUUACACCAUUUUAAUGGAAUGGUUUGAUAUUAUACAUUGGUCUGAGUUUCUUUGUGGCUGUUAUGAUUUGAAUAUGAAGUAUCCCCCAAAGCUUUUAUGUUAAUACAGUAAUGUUCAGGGUGAAACGAUUGGAUUACAGGAGCUGUAGUCACUCAUCCUAGUUUGAAUGGACUGACUGGGUGGUAAAUGUAGAGAGGUGGAGUGUGGCUGGAGAAUGUGGGUCAUUGGGGAUGUGCCCCAGAAGAGCAAGAGGGUAUGGCCCCUUCAUGCACUCCUGCUUCCUUGCUGUUUUGAGGGACCAGUUUCCCUCUGCCCUGCGUUUCUCCAUGAUAUUCUGCCUCACCUUGAGCUCAGAGCAAUGGAAUCAGCCAUGUAUGGACUGAGUCACCUGAUACCAUGAGUAAAAGUAAACUUUUCCUACUCUGAAUUGUUCUGGUCACGUAUCUUAGUCACAGGAGCAGAAAGCUAACUAAAACAGUAGCCGUACUCCAAAAAAUCAUGAGAAGCUCAAAUACUUUUCAGUCAUUCUUGCCAUUCCUAAGGAGUUGGCUUCAUUCAUAAGGUCUCAAAUGACUCACCACUAAGUCACAUCUCUACCAUCAGAAAGAAGUAAAGAAGGGAACAACAUGUCCCAUCUCCUUAAACCCAGAAACUGCACACAUUACACCUAGUUACAUCUUAUUGUCCAGAAUUCAGUCACUCUACUUACAAGGAAAACUGGAAAUACAAUCUUUACUUCUACUGUGGAAGAUGUCAAGGGAUGGUCACGAUGUCUGCCAACAGAAAGCAAUUUUAAAUGUCAAAAAGUAUAAGUCAGGGCAGGGGUUGGUGCUCAGUAGUACAGCACUUGCCUAGCACAUGUGAGGCACUGGGUUGGAUCCUUAGCACCACCUAAAAAUAAAUAAGUAAAAUGAAGGUAUUGUGUCCAUCUACAACUAAAAAAUAUAUACAUAAAAAAGAAAGUAAAUUUUUUAGAUACUUUAUUUUGAUGAUUAUUCAUGUGUUUUUAAUUCUAAAUAUAAUAAAUUUGGAAUACAUGAAGAUAAUAAGUGGUUACAUUAAAUACUCUUAAUUUCGGAAACUAGAGGUGUUCACCCCUCUCUCUCAAUAGGCUUGGGCUUAUUUUUUAGUGUCAUUUGUGUUUCUCAGCCUCCUUAAUCUUAGGAGUAUCACUUAAUUUCAUGGGUCCCAAUUUCCUCUGUGAUAGUGAAGAUCAGAGAAACAGUUCAAGGCGGUUAGGAAUAUGAAAGGAGGGUGGACAUAUUCAUCAUGUAAACAAACAGCAGAAAUGAUGGAAUGAUGCACCAUGUAUACAUCUUGAAUGUUAGAACCAUUUGUGACUCAUAUAUAACCUGAUGAUCUGUACACAUUCAGUUCACAAGAAAUGACAUGAAUUGCCUGAGCGCACAGCACCCAGCUUGUAGCCUCAACAUCUGCAUCAUACAGACAGAGAAAAUACAAGUGCUAAUGUGACAUUUGUCCCUAAACAUGUCUACUAUUGGACUCCACUUUAUCCCAUGCUUCACUCAAACACAUUUCAGGAAAAGAUUUGGGAGACUUGAACACAGAUGAAAACAAAGUAUCCAAAAAAAAAAGGAAGAAAGAAAGAUGAAUAGAGUAGAAAUUAAAUAUUUAAGUUUUAGAGGCAAGAGGAAGAAAAUAAUAAUUAGAUAAGGUAGAUGAAUAUAAAUAAUGGCUAGGAAAUUCUCUAGCAAAACCCCAGAAGUGAAAAAGGUUUUUAAUGAAUAAUUUCAGCAAAAAGCUUCUCACCAAUUUUAGCACAAAUUUUAAAUUCUGGUGUUGUUGGUGAUUAAUCAAGAUUAUAUGUGUUGACACUCAUGUUUAUUAAAGAAGCUAAAAUUCAAUCUGCUCUAAUAAAAAUGAUAGAACCUACUACUGGAAGACAAUAAAAACACCUUUAUGCACAUAAACACACACACACACACAAAUUGAAAGAAGAUGCUGCAAAACAUUAUUUUCAACAAUUGUGGUAAGUAAUUUGACCAAAAGCCAAAUGUUAGAGUGAAAGACAGAGUUAAGGAUAUUAUAAAAGGGUUGGUCUCUUUGCCACAUUCCAUUCACAUGAACAAUGCAGAUUUGACAGACAGGAAUUCUUACUAACCAGGUGGGAAGAGGUGUGGUGAAUGGCCCACUUACCACAUUUUUAAGUCUUUCUUUGCUCUUUCUUUUUUCUUCUGUAGCCUUCGCAAAUGACCUUGAGAGGACAUUUUCCAAUCAUUUAACCUUUCUUUCCAUGAAUAAAUUUUCUUGAAUGAUGGUAUUGAUAUACUUUGCCAUUUUUUAUGAGUCUGCUUUUUGUUUUUUAGUUUGACAGUUGCCACAUUCUACAUUGUUAUAUCACUAUUUUCAAACUGUCACAGAGAAGUAUUCAUUGAAUGACCAAAACCUAACAGCAUCUCUAUCCUUCCUUUAUUCCUUUUUAAAAUAUGUAUCGAACUGUCUAUCCAAAAAGCACUAUCUUAAUAUGUCCUCAAUUAUUUUUUCUUCCUCAGUUAUGAUCUGGUACAUAGCACUACCAUCCACCCAUUUUGAGGCUGACACCAUUAUCUCACAUCCUUAAGUCCCAGUUUCCUCUCAUACUCAUUUCCCAGCAUCCCCAAAUCAGGUCAGCUUGGCCUCUGAUGUGUAUCCUGAAUGGGUGAUUUCCUACCCUCUCCACCUCUGAAACUCCAGAGGUGGCCACCACUGUUGGGAGAAUUUCCCAGCGGGAUCCCUUGCUAUUCCUCUUGCUAAUUUUUUAUCUUCUUAGUGAUCUUUUAAAAGUAUAAAUGGCUCAUCCCUGAUUUAAAAAAUAAGAUUAAAACUCUGUGUUUGUGUGUUAUGCUCUAGUUCGGAACCCCCAAAGGACCACCAGAGACCAAGAUCCUAUAAGCAGCAAAGAGGUGUUUAUUGCGAGCUAACUGGGUCUCUCUGCACACAGCAACUGGUGACGCUGAGAGGCCCCAGCCCAGGGUUUGCGGCAGUUUUAUACACUCUUUGGGGAAGGCAGGGACUUCACAUACAUCAUAACAUCUCUUAGCAAAUCAUCACACACCCACACACCGCAGGGAAAUCAUAAAACAACUCUAAAACAUGAUUAGCAUAUCAAGUGGUGGGAAAGAAUCUGGAAAGGAUUAUUGGUCAGUUCAAGGGGUUGACGCACUUAAAAAUGAUUGGUUUAAACCAUGAGGGUGUCACAAGGGGGGUACUGCCAAGCUGCAAGGCUUCUGGUUUAGAUAUUGAUCACCACACCUAGGUGGGGGCCAUCUGGAAUUUCAGAUAUUUCAGUAUCUUGGCCUAUCUUAGGCAAUCACCAUUUGCUUUGCACAGAGCUUUCUGUGGUAUUUCCUGACUUUAGGACUGCAGUAGGUCAGAGGUUAAGUUUCAGGGUAAAAUGAGGUUGCUUAGGUCUUUCAUGUGUGCCACUACACUUGAAAUACAAUUAAUUCCUUCAUUUACAAAAACUGAGUGAUCUGUCUUUCUGACCUCAUCUUCUGUUGUCCCUGUGCCCUGUUGGAUUUGUUCUUAGUAUUUGGCCCUUUUAUAUGUUCUUCAAACACACAAAUCUUACUUCUUUCAUGGGGUCUUUGUACUUUGUUCCUUGUAUUUGAAUUCUUCUUCCCAAGGUGGCAGCCUGUAUGGUCCACUUUCUUCCUUUAGGUCUCAACUCUAAAGUAACUAUCUCAAAAAAGUCUUCCCUGAUCACCCUAAGAGUUGGAUGCAUCUCACUCUACAAGUAAUGUCACCCACAGUCUGAUUCAAAUUAUCACAGCUCCAUGAGAAUUCUUUAAAAAAAAAAAAAUGAUUAUCAUUUGAGAAGAUUUAUGUUGAGGAGACCAGAGGAUCAAAGUUGGAACCAGUAAUGAGACACAGUACUGUAGAAAGAACAAGGUUUGGGAGGAAAACUGAUCAGAUUUCCCUGAUCAGUCUUUCACUUACUAACUUUAUGGCCUUCAGGAAAUUACUUACCACAUUUGAAACUUGGUUUCCUCAUCUGUAAAGCGUGCAUAUAAUAUCAAAAGUAUUUGUUUGCUUUAAGAUAUAUAAAAUAAUAUGUUUACCUGAAAUAGAGUAGCUAUUUACUGGGACCAUAUUUUUUGGUGUUGGUUCUUUGUUCUCAUAUUAUAAGGCUUUCAAUCUACAUUUUUUAAGCAUGUUGUAAUUUCUCUGAAGGAGGAAGCAGUUGACUACAACACAUGGCUAAGGAAGCUAGGAUAACAGUGGUUCCCUGUUAUUCUUUAUUUUUUAAAAAAUUUAACCUUUAUUUUUAUUUAUUUAUCUAUUUAUCUAUUUAUUUGUUUAUUUAUUUGUGUAUGUGUAGUGUCAAUGAUCAAACCCAAUGCCUCACACUCUACCACUGAGCUACAACCCCAGCCCCUCUGUUUUUCUAUUUUUCCUUUUUUUAUAGUUGUAGAUGGACAGGAUGCCUUUAUUUUAUUUGCAUAUUUUUUAAAAGACAUUUGUCAAAGUCACCACACCCAAUGUAACUUCUAGACUGAAUCACACUUAACAUGAAAAAGCAAGAAAAGGGAAAAGAAAGGAAGGAAGGAUGAUUUAGAAGAAGAGUAAGGAUUACCUUCCUGAGUGGCUCAGUAUUUUCAAUUUUGAAAGUAAUUUGAAACAUUCCAAUUGUAUAAAAAUGUGCCUGUUUAUUUAGUAAUUCAACACAUAUAUAGGGGGCAUCAGUCACUGCUUAAAGUAUUGCAAAUACUGCAUUAUAGCAAAGGACAAAACAAAGCCCUCUGAUUUUGUGACUCUUGUACUGCUCAAUCCCUCAUCUUAGAAUCAAAUUACAUUUUAUCUAUUGCCAUAGUAUUCUAUACCCCAAAUGAUAAACUUGGGGUCAGGGACUUGGAUUCUACUAUGAGCUUUACCCAUCCUUUAGUUUGGGGCUAGUUGUCAGAUUUUCUAAGUCUUAAUUUCCAAGGCUAUGUAACCUAGCUCUAGUGUUAAACUAAAUAUGGCCUGAGGCUACUUCUGUGCUUUGAAUCCCAACAUAAUUAACUGCAAAAUAACUUAGUACAUAAAAUACCUGCAAGUCUAAAGUAAGGAGUGUAGCUUUUGUGAUAGCUAGCUGGGUUUGAGCCAAUCAUAGCAGUACACUUCACACAGGCAGCCAACCAAUCAGAUCAUGUUCAAAGAAGGCAAACUUGGAGCUAUAACUCAAAAAGCAGCCUGUGGCCCUCACUUCUCUUUCCUAUCUAUAUAAAUGCUGUCUGAACAUGUUGCAGAACAGAGUUCUCUUGGUUUCUUCUUCUUGGUUUUGAGGGCUGAUUGAUUUUCAAAUUGCUUCUUUCUCAAAAUCAAUUAAAUUUAAUUUUCUUUUUCUUUUGUGGUACUGGCAAUUGAACACAGAAGUACUUUACUAGUAAGUUACAUCCUGAGAAACAGGGUCUCACCAAGUUCAGGCUGGCCUGGAACUUGCAGUCUUCCUGCCUCAUCCUCUUCCCCCAGGGUAGACAGAAUUACAGUCUCUACAGUUCCAAAACAUGAUUCUAUGCUGAUAUGAAACAUUACACUGUCCUAUUUUGUCUGCAGCUUAUUUCCCAUGUUAAUAACUAGAAUUGAGCUGAAAAGAUGAAACCUGUUUGGAACACAAUCAUCUUUUCUUUUGUACUGUAAGGGACGGCCCAAGAUUUUCUCAACUAAACCUUAUAUUUGCAUUUAAGUUGUCUAAAUUUUAAUAUGCAUAUGUUUCAGGGACAUUAUAAUGCCCCAAACUUUCUUUUACCAAGCAUUUCUGCAAGAUCAAUUAUAUAAAUGAAUGAAUGAAUGAAUAAAUAAAUAAAUGAAAAUACUGUUUUCUAUAAAAACAUGCAUGCAUUAUUAUCACUAUGAUUAUCUGCAUUGAUGUCCCAGUACAUCCAUUUGUUUCAGAUGAUUCAUUUUUAUACAGUUCAAUGCAUUCGCCACCAUGGAGAUCAUUGUCAAACAGGUGCUACGGCGCAUUCUCUUAUGGCUAAAGAAAACAUUUUUUUUUGUAUUUAUAUGGUAUCCAGGUUACAUCUUUGAUAAUCAUUUUAAAACUGAGAGUAAAAAAUGGCAGAUGGAAUAUCAUUGUUUUUCUUUUUCUUCCCCAUCUCCCUUUAUUUCUUUACAUUGUCAGGAUGGCUCCAUCCAUUCAGAUGGCAUGGCUGUUGUGAAUGAAGGCAGACCUGCACUUUCAGCGAUCCUCUCUCCAGUUCAAUUAUGGUGCUUUAGCAGGGCUAAUUAGCAUUCCUCAGUGCUGGAGCUCUUUGAGUGACAGGUAACCAUGGAGAGUCACACUCCUGUAGGUAAUCAGUAAGAAUCUAGCUUUUCUUUCUAAUUACAAAUUAGAAAAGCCUUAAAGAAAAAGCAUUUACUGAUUUAUGCCAUUAGCCCAAGAUUGCCAUGUUAGAAAGGAUAACAGGAGUGUCAGAAGAAAGCUGAUGUUUUUUCAAAAGGAAAAGAGGGAAAUACCAUGAUGGUCAGAUACAGGAAAAAAAUGUUUAUUGUCUGAUAACAGAUACCCAAAAGGAAAGCAUAAAAAAGCAAAAUGUCAUCUGCUCCUGAGGAUUCAUUUAGAUUCUCCCCUUCGAAAUUUAAGAAAUAAUGUAGUAUUUACUAACGGUGUUUUCUUUUUCUGUCAUUUAGAAUGCACUAGAAUCAGAAUGUUGAAAUAGUAAAUGCAGUGAUCAAUGAGUAAUGCAUAUUUGAUAACUGUUGAUUGUGACUGAUGAGAAAUAUAACAAAAUUAAAAAUUGAGAAUAUUGGAAAAUCCACAUGAUGCAAAAAUAUUGAAUCUGAUCUUGGAAUUGAUGUCAGUUGGCAGAGUGCAUCUUUCCAACAAAGUGAAUAUUAUAAGUAGGCCAGAGAUGUGCAUUAAAUAUUGUCACCUUAGCCUGGUAGCAUAGUUUCAGGAAAAAAAUGAACAGCAAUUUUAUAACAUCUUAAGAUCAUAUCAGGAUAAUGUUUCCAUUCGAAAACAGGUAAGUCCAUAACAAGAAUGAUCAAAGUCAAUUUAUAUUUUCCCAAAACUGAAAGGAAACUUCUCAUUUUUUUUUUUUUUGGUUCUCUUCACCUUAUUAAAAAUUUAAUUUUAACAUGCCUCUCCCUUUCCUGUUUUUACCCAAAAGUAGAAUUAUUAUAAAAACAUUCCCUGGUGUUAUUUCUGGCCAGCAUAAAGCCAGGAAGCUCUUACAGUCUUGUGGGAAUGCCUAAUCCCAUGAAUUUACCAGUCUUAUUUCAACCAUGAGGGUGGGGAAGGAUACAAACCAAGUCACACAGAGUUCUUCAAUUGUUACUUCAGAAUAAUUUCUAUUAUGGGAAGAAUUCAUGAUAACAGAGAAUGAUAAAAAUCAGUUGCAUUAUUUAUGAUCUUACUUUAACUUGGUUCAUGUUCCAAAAAUUAAGAUUUGUCUUCUCAGAUAGAGGUUGAAUGAAAGAACAAAGUUUAAUCACAAGCAAAUGUCCCCAACAAUAUGCAACCAUGGUCAUUAUAAAUUGGGUCACUCAUUUAAUGUGCUAUUUAUUUUAAUGUUCUUUCUUAAUAAGCAUAAUUCUUCAAUUUUCAAGAUUUGCACAAGAAAUUUUCAUAAAAUAUAUUAUCUCAUAUUUCAGAAAUCAAGUAAAUUUAGCUUGCUAAUGGCUUUUAACUUUAAUGCAAAGAUAAAAAGAACAAUUCUGUACCAAAAUCUGAAACUAUUUUUAGUUCUUCAAAAAAAUUUUGCAUCCAGUAGAAUUCUGCAAACAGGGUAAGGACCAUCUCAUUUUAUAGUAUGAACAGUUCUAUUCUAAAGCAUUUCAUUUGGAAGUUCACUAUGUUUCAACCAUAGUGAAGGGAGGUACCAGUUGGUUCCAUCUCACCUUCUUUGAUAUUUACAACUUUUCUUCCCAAUGGUGAAACCAAAUCAGUACAAAUGCUUAAUUGAACAGAAAAUACUGCAUAUUUUAAAACAAACCCAUUAAGAAUCGAUGUUCCAUAAUACUGAAUGGAUUUUGAACAUUGACUUCCUUGGCAAUUUCCAAUUUUUUUUUUAACAAACAGAUUGACUUAUUGAACAUUAAGAACUGUUUUUAUCCAUUUCCAAUCCUGAAUAUUUACAGACAAAUCCUUUUUAACUCUUCUGCCUACAUUUUUUCUGUAGACACUGAAUGAGAAAUUUUGCAAGCAUGAGCUAUUUUAUAAUAGACUAUACUUAAUUAGUGAAUAUGAGGCAGCAGUGGUCUGGUGUUCUGAACAGUUUGUAUAGCUGAUCUCUAAUUGUUUUAUGUCUUCUUCAUAACUUUCACACUAUUAGAGAGAGAAGAAAUCAGCUCAUGACUAUGACUAUCAUCCCUUUUCAGAAAUGUUGAGAUCUCAGAGGGUGGCUGAUAUACCAACAUAGCACAUUUUGUUUUGUUUCCCGGCUACAUGUAGUCUUUCUGAUUUUACACAGUAAUUCCCUAGAAUCACAAAAGUUCAGAAACAUAAAGCUUCCUGUUGAUGUAGUUUAAUCUUCUCAUUUUACAGAUGAAGAUACUGGAGAGAGAGGUUCCUGGCAUCCAGCUAACUAGUGUCAGUGCUAGAACUGGACCUGAAACUCAAAGUUCAGAAUUCCUUUAUCAACAAACUUCCUCUCCUGGGGUAAUUUCAUGCCAUGGGGCCUUCUCAUUAGAUUCCAUGUAGAUUUGUCAGGAGCUGACUCAGAAUUGACUCACAGAGUCAACAAUUAACACAAAAGUCCUGUCUUGCAACAACCUGCCAUAAAACACCCUUGUGUGAGUUCCAAGACCUUGCUUACUGCCAUGUCACUGCCUUGUGAAGAGGGUGAUUGGCCAACCUGAGCUGAGGUGGUAGAUUCUUUACCUUUGUGACUGUGACAGUCUGAUAUUGCCUUUGUAAGUACUCUACAUUUGCCUUUAUUUCAUCCUAAAACAUUAAUCUUUUGAAAGGGCUAAAAGAUAUUAGUCUUUCUGAUCUCAGAUGCUACCAUUUUAUAUAUGUUAGCAAAACUAAAGAGAAAAACAAACAAAAUAGUCAAAUCAAAAAAUUUUAAAAUAUCAGGCAUCUGCUAAAAAAAGUAGACUUUAUUACAAAACCAGUAAAAAAAAA